rnacentral:rRNA from 1 species
CCUACGGGAGGCAGCAGUGGGGAAUAUUGCACAAUGGGGGAAACCCUGAUGCAGCGACGCCGCGUGAGUGAAGAAGUAUUUCGGUAUGUAAAGCUCUAUCAGCAGGGUAGAAACCCACCCUCCGGGGUGGCUGACGGUACCUGACUAAGAAGCCCCGGCUAACUACGUGCCAGCAGCCGCGGUAAUACGUAGGGGGCAAGCGUUAUCCGGAUUUACUGGGUGUAAAGGGAGCGUAGGUGGCAAGGCAAGUCAGAUGUGAAAACCCGGGGCCCAACCCCGGGAGUGCAUUUGAAACUGUCUGGCUAGAGUGCAGGAGAGGUAAGUGGAAUUCCUAGUGUAGCGGUGAAAUGCAUAGAUAUCACGCAGAACCCCGAUUGCGAAGGCAGCAUACCGGUGCACAACUGACGCUCAGGCACGAAAGCGUGGGUAUCGAACAGGAUUAGAUACCCUUGUAGUC